CUCUAGGAAGCAUCUCCCCUGUCCUCCCGCGCGAUGCUGUGUGUAGCGUUGCCGCGUAUUACCAUGGCAACGCUCCACACAGCAUCGCGCGGGAGAACAGGGGAGCUGCUUCCUAGAG